ensembl:lncRNA
GAUGCCAUCAGGUGACUCCAGCUUGAUUUGGGGCAGCAAACGUCGGGAUCUGUGAAGUUGUGUGACCAGGUCUGCUUUUGUAAACUGCGUAGCUGACUUGUUGGUCCUUGAAGGGGAGAGUGAAAGGUUAGAAUAGUGGCAUAACUGUACCAUCACAUUUGAUGCCAAAAGUAUUGAAUUAGUUUGUAGUCUCACAAGAAAGGAGUUAUUAUACGUGAGGCAGAAUGAUGCUGUGGAAAGAAGACAAAGCUAGGCAUCCAAAGGCCAACACCUUACCUGACUGUGCCAAUAACCAGCUGCCUGGCUUUGGGCAAGUCUGGGUCUCAGUUUCCUUAUCUGGCAGAGGUGGCAGACUAGAUGAGCUCUGAGCACCAUUUAAAUGGUCUCACUCUCUCACAGAUCCAAACCAAUAUUAUCACCCUUGCUCUUUUUCUGAGUUACGUUCAAGAUUUUCACUUUCAUCUCUGGGUUCACCUAACAUUUUUUAUACAUAUUACUUAUUCAGACAAAGUGGAUCAGUUUCAAAUAAUCAUAGCAUUUUAAGCAAGUUGUGGAUCUUCUCCCCCAAGACUUCCUUAGGACCCCUUCCACAGUGUAGAUUGAAUUGUGGUGAGAAUGAGUGUUGUUAUUUCAUUUUCACUUAGGAACAGGGGAGACACUAAGCUUAAAGAAAUUCUAAGGGUCAUGGUCACAUCAAGUGAUGGGGUCAUGACAUUGGAGGUUACAUGGACCAUGUUAGUCAUGAGACAGCAGACCCAGAUGCUUAGUUCUUACUCUGUCACUAUCUGGAUAAGUGACCUUGGACAACUCUCUUCCCCUCUCUGGGGUUUAAUCUUUUGCAUCUACAAAAUAUGGGGUUGUACUUGAUGGGCCACAAGAUCCCUUCUAGCUCAGACAUUUAUAGUUUUAUGGAAAGUUUGUAAUCAUCCAUGUUGGUCCCCGUUGCAAGAGACAGGCAACAUUGGGAGCAAAAAUGGGUGCAUGAGAUCGGAUGCUUUUGCUGUUGAAACUUUACAGCAAAUGGGUCUGGCUCUGUAGCUGAGGGCAGAGGGUUUGGCUUCCGGGGUGCCCCUGACAGUUUCUUUAUUCAUAAAUAACUGGUGUGGAAGACAAUCUGACAAGACAUGGAGUUUGAUCAAACAUCUCUUGGCCAGGAUGAACUGUUGGCAUCUAGUUUGAAGUGUCUUUGGUGGUCACGUAAAGAAAUUAGUAGUGAGCAAUCAAGAGAAACCAUGACUCCUGUUUGGGCUGUCUGGACUAGGAUUUUAUGUAUUUGAGUUACAGAAAAGUUUUAUCUCCAACUCUUAGAAUAUAGAUAUUUUCCACUUGUUACGGAGGUCAACAAAUUCUUACCAUGGAUCUAUACGCCCAAAACAACAACAGAGACUUAAGCUCAUUUUGUGAUAUUGUGUGAACUUUUUCCCAUUCUAUUCAGUUGUCCUUCCACAUAAACCGUUGUGCAUAUUUCCACAUGGAAACUAUAAGAGAAGGCAUCUGUUCCAUCUAGAUGUUGACGAGGGGUAAAAAGUUUAAAAUGAGCAGAGUUUUUUUGAAGCAGGAGCAGAAAUUUGUGACCAAAGAAUGUUUCCAGGUUGGUUUUAACUUCUUUAUACUGGGGAGAUCAUACUCUCCCUAUCCUACAGCGUCUUUAUGAAAUGAGAAAGGCUUUCCUGCUAGAAUAUGAAAUGUGGAAGACCUUGUGACUUUCGGCUGAUUUUUCAAAGAUAAACUGUUCAGCUUCUUAGAAAUUCAUAGAAGUAUGGCUGUGUGUGUGUGCACACAUGCACGUCAGACUCAUUUGGGAAGUUUUAAAAGCUUAACACUAAAUCCCAAGCCAUGUCCUUUGGGUCUUAUGUAAGCAUUCUCAAAAUUAGACCAUUUCUGGUUUCUGAGUCAUCUGAUCAUAUCUCUAGCAGUUUUUUUCUUGAAAUUCUGAAAAUGAUUCAGAUACGUGUACAUAUUUAAUUCACUUAGAUGAUCUGUAAACUUGGAUGGUAUUUAUUCUAAAUGGAAAAAAUUUUAUACUGAAAAUCUAUGUAAUUUAUAAUGGUUUUGUUUUAUAUAUUAUAUUUUCAUAUCUUUAGGGCACAUCUGCUCUUCUCAUCUUUUUGUAUAUCAUACUUGGCAAAAGAACUACUAAUA